GGGGGAAACCCUGACGCAGCGAUGCCGCGUGGGUGAAGAAGGCUUUCGGGUCGUAAAGCCCUGUCAGGUGGGAAGAAUAGCUUCCAAUUGAAUAGAUUGGGAGUAUGACGGUACCACCGAAGGAAGCACCGGCUAACUCCGUGCCAGCAGCCGCGGUAAGACGGAGGGUGCAAGCGUUAUUCGGAAUUAUUGGGCGUAAAGAGCGUGUAGGCGGCCGGUUAAGUCAGGCGUGAAAGCCCAGGGCUCAACCCUGGAAGUGCGUUUGAAACUGGUCGGCUUGAGUUCGGGAGAGGGAAGCGGAAUUCCGGGUGUAGAGGUGAAAUUCGUAGAUAUCCGGAGGAACAUCGGUGGCGAAGGCGGCUUCCUGGACCGAAACUGACGCUGAGACGCGAAAGCGUGGGGAGCAAACAGGAUUAGGUACCCUGGUAGUCCACGCUGUAAACGAUGGGCGCUAGGUGUGGGGGGUUUUUAAUCCCUCCGUGCCGCAGUUAACGCAUUAAGCGCCC
rnacentral:rRNA from 1 species